CCGAGGCAGGCGACCCUGGGAGCCUGCGCUCCUGGGGGUAACACAGCAUCGUGCUUCGAGGCCGGCAAGCCGCAGCGUCCCCUAGUGGCCACCCCUGGGGAGGAGCGAGUUUCUCCCGAAAUCGCCCGCACAGUCGGGGGGUGCUGGGUAAUCUCAGCGGUGCCUCCAGGCACCUGCGGACAAGCAGGCAGGUGGACCUUCUCCUUGCCGGAGGCUUCAGAGGGGGGUUCUGGAAGGAGGUGACGCUUGGGCCGACGCCGAAGGAACCUUUAGAAUGCAGAGCGCCGUAGUGCGCCGGGAAGGGUGCAGUACUCAGCGCUGCCACAGGAGGGCCUGCCGGAAUCCGGACGCUGUGCAGGGGGGACUGGGGACAUCGGAAAUGAGGCUGUGACACGAUGCUGGAGGGCUUGCUUUGAGGCCUGUUUUAAGUUCACAUCAGCCCAGUGAGAGCACACGGCCAGCGGCUUUCCUCCAGCCCGGCACUUUGUGACAUAGACUUCAAAUGCGGAGCCUCUCUCGUCCUGCCCCACCCCGACGCGUCCAGACCCUGCGAAUACUGGGAUGCGUCAACGGGACUGUGGAUCUGAAGAACAGAAUGCUGAUGAUCCCCAGGAGGGUCUGAAGGUUAACGGGGGACUGGAGAGAUGAAGCCAGGAGCCUCCCGCCUCCUGCUGUGUG